rnacentral:rRNA from 1 species
UGGGGAAUAUUGGGCAAUGGGCGCAAGCCUGACCCAGCAACGCCGCGUGAAGGAAGAAGGCUUUCGGGUUGUAAACUUCUUUUAAGAGGGAAGAGCUGAAGACGGUACCUCUAGAAUAAGCCACGGCUAACUACGUGCCAGCAGCCGCGGUAAUACGUAGGUGGCAAGCGUUGUCCGGAUUUACUGGGUGUAAAGGGCGUGCAGCCGGGUCUGCAAGUCAGAUGUGAAAUCCAUGGGCUCAACCCAUGAACUGCAUUUGAAACUGUGGAUCUUGAGUGUCGGAGGGGCAAUCGGAAUUCCUAGUGUAGCGGUGAAAUGCGUAGAUAUUAGGAGGAACACCAGUGGCGAAGGCG